rnacentral:rRNA from 1 species
CGGGGGGGCAAGCGUUGUUCGGAAUUACUGGGCGUAAAGGGCGCGUAGGCGGCCGACUAAGUCGGAUGUGAAAUCCCCAGGCUCAACUUGGGAACUGCAUCCGAUACUGGACGGCUUGAAUCCGGGAGAGGGAUGCAGAAUUCCAGGUGUAGCGGUGAAAUGCGUAGAUAUCUGGAGGAAUACCGGUGGCGAAGGCGGCAUCCUGGACCGGCAUUGACGCUGAUGUGCGAAAGCUAGGGGAGCAAACGGGAUUAGAUACCCCGGUAGUCCUAGCCCUAAACGAUGAAUGCUUGGUGUGACGGGUAUCGAUCCCUGUCGUGCCGAAGCUAACGCAUUAAGCAUUCCGCCUGGGGAGUACGGUCGCAAGGCUG